rnacentral:rRNA from 1 species
AGAGUUUGAUGAUGGCUCAGAAUGAACGCUGGCGGCGUGCUUAACACAUGCAAGUCGCACGAGAACUCUUCUGCUUGCAGAAGAUAGUAAAGUGGCGCACGGGUGAGUAACGCGUGGGUAAUCUACCUCAGAAUUGGGGAUAACAUUGUGAAAGCGAUGCUAAUACCGAAUAAUAUCUCGAGAACUUAGGUUUUUGGGAUCAAAGGUGGCCUCUACAUGUAAGCUACUGUUUUGAGAUGAGCCCGCGUACCAUUAGCUUGUUGGUAGGGUAAUGGCCUACCAAGGCAACGAUGGUUAGCUGGUCUGAGAGGAUGAUCAGCCACACUGGAACUGACACACGGUCCAGACUCCUACGGGAGGCAGCAGUGAGGAAUUUUGCGCAAUGGGGGAAACCCUGACGCAGCAACGCCGCGUGAGUGAUGAAGGCUUUCGAGUCGUAAAGCUCUGUCAAGUGAGAAGAACCUAUCCCGCGCUAAUACCGUGGGAUACUGACGGUAUCACUGAAGGAAGCACCGGCUAACUCCGUGCCAGCAGCCGCGGUAAUACGGAGGGUGCAAGCGUUAUUCGGAAUUAUUGGGCGUAAAGGGCGCGUAGGCGGUCUUUUAAGUCA